rfam:Populus trichocarpa scaffold_12_contig_146, whole genome shotgun sequence.
UUUGGAACUCAAGAUAUAAGCUGAAUAUCGAACAGUGUCUGGGCUGCAGGACAGAUUCAGACGUCUCUUUUAUUGCUAAAAUUUGAACUUGAAAACAGAAGAUUCGAAUCUUAGACUCUUCAUGAAAGUUUUAGGCCUAUGUCUUAUCUUUUCAUC